rnacentral:lncRNA from 1 species
CCCCCCCACGGCGACAUCUACGUCAAACAAGCUAAACGACGAGAAAGGUCCAACAAACGACAAUGUCGGUGCUACGCGUGAACAAGGUAACACAAAGCGCUCCUUUUUCCAUUUUCAAUAUACGCACUACAAAGCCAGGACGGCCAGAGAAAGAAGGACAAAACGACAAAAAGAAAAUAGCUACAUACAGACAAAGGGAUUCUAAGGAGGUCCUGCUCCCUCUGACCUAGGGUGAUCACCUCCAUCCCUCAACCAGGACUGCCUCAGAUUCUCCACUGCUUCUUCUAGUUCUUCCUUCUUCUGCAGCGUAUCCCGGAGCGUCUGACGAAGAUGUCGGCUCUCUGCCUCCGCUUCUCGACGCCGCUUCCGCAGAACUUCGGACUCCGCCUCUGCAUCCGCGACGGCCUUCCGCUCGAGCGCCAGUUGGAUUUUCACUUGUUGAAGCUCGGCUGUCUUCUCCCCAAGGGAGACGGAAAUCCCCUCGACAGUGCCCCUCAGGGCUAGGAGCUCUUCGGUAUCU